rnacentral:lncRNA from 1 species
CUUAUCAAAGAGAAGAACAGAAAGGUAUGAGAGAGCUGACAGAAUACAGCAGAAAAGAAGCCAUGAGGGGGAAGAAAUGGACUGUAAAAGAAGUACAAAUCGGGAGAUUUGCUGAAUGAUAAGAUCAGACUCAAGGGGCCUCCAGAAGUCUGCCUUUGGUCAAAAUGUUUUUGAACAAAAAUGGUCCAGAGCUCUCUGCAGCCCUGCACAGAUAUGAAAGUCAUGCUAG